AUAUGAUUUACAAAAUCUAACGGCUCUUACAUGAUUAUGUGAUAGGUGGUGCAUGGCCGUUCUUAGUUCGUGGAGUGAUCUGUCUGCUUAAUUGCGUUUGGAUACAACAAUUUUGGAAUCGCGGCAAUGUUCAGCUUAAUGGCGUCGAUAAAAUUAACAUUAUGUUGACAAUUAGUCCAACUCGGCCAGCUCGAUUCUUUCCAAUGCAACGAGCGUGAUCGCGACCCCUUGUUGAGCUUAUUACACAUAAGCUCUAUGUCGACGGAACGCUUUUGCGUUACGGAGACAAACUCGGGGGACAGCUUCAAUCAAUUU
rnacentral:rRNA from 1 species